AGAGUUUGAUCAUGGCUCAGGGUGAACGCUGGCGGCGUGCUUGACACAUGCAAGUCGAACGGUAUGUGGCAACACAUAGAGUGGCGAACGGGUGAGUAACACGUGGGAACGUAUCUUUUGCAGGGGGAUAACUGACCGAAAGGACAGCUAAUACCGCAUAAGUCCGAGAGGAGAAAGGUGCAACAGCAUCGGCAGAAGAGCGGCCCGCGGUCCAUCAGCUAGUUGGUGAGGUAAGGGCUUACCAAGGCGACGACGGAUAGCCGGCGUGAGAGCGUGGCCGGCCACAAGGACACUGAGAUACGGGUCCUACUCCUACGGGAGGCAGCAGUGCGGAAUUUUAGAUAAUGGAGGGAACUCUGAUCUAGCGACGCCGCGUGCAGGAAGAAGGUCUUCGGAUUGUAAACUGCUGUGGUAAGGGAAAAAUGCUAUGUAGAGUGGAAAGCUACAUAGAGGGAUGGUACCUUACUAGAAAGCCCCGGCUAACUACGUGCCAGCAGCCGCGGUAAUACGUAGGGGGCGAGCGUUACCCGGAAUCACUGGGCGUAAAGGGAGCGUAGGUGGCCUAACAUGUCAACUGUGAAAACCCGGAGCUCAACUCCGGACUUGCAGUUGAAACUGGUAGGCUUGAGGACGGUAGAGGAAGACGGAACUGCCAGUGUAGGGGUAAAAUCCUUAGAUAUUGGCAGGAACGCCGGUGACGAAGGUGGUUUUCUGGGCCGGUUCUGACACUGAUGCUCGAAAGCCAGGGGAGCGAACGGGAUUAGAUACCCCGGUAGUCCUGGCCCUAAACGAUGUUCACUAGGUGUGGGGAGCGGAAAGCUCUCCGUGCUAAAGCUAACGCGAUAAGUGAACCGCCUGGGGAGUACGCCCGCAAGGGUGAAACUCAAAUGAAUUGACGG
rnacentral:rRNA from 1 species